rnacentral:lncRNA from 1 species
ACAAAAUCUUUACUCUAAUAGAAUACUAACUAAACUCUAAUUAGACCAUAACAAUACUAAGCAAGCUUUAAUCAAAUUUAAAAAAAUCUCAAAGGAAUUACAAAGAAAAAUAAGAAAUCUUAAGAAAUAUUAGAAUGAUCACAAAUAUAUCUCAAAUACAUCUCAAUUCAAUCUUAAUUUAAUCCUAGUUAAAAUCCUAUUGGACUUCAUUCAAACUUUAGGCCAAAAACUAACUAAAUCUUAAAUCCUAAAUCAAUCCUUAACCAAAUCUUAAAUCAAAUCCUAAAUCCUAAAUCAAAUCCUAAUCAAAUCCUAAAUCCUAAACCAAAUCCUAAUUUUAAAUCAAUUCCUAACCAAAUCCUAACUCUAAAUCAAACUCUAACCAAAUCCUAACCCUAAAUCAAAUCCUAAUUAAAUCCUAAACUAAAUCCUAAAUAAAUCAUAAUCUUAAAUCAAAUCCUAACUAAAUCCUAAACUCUAAACCAAACCCUAACCAAACCUUAAA